GAUGAACGCUAGCUACAGGCUUAACACAUGCAAGUCGAGGGGCAGCAUAGUCUUAGCUUGCUAAGGCCGAUGGCGACCGGCGCACGGGUGAGUAACACGUAUCCAACCUGCCGUCUACUCUUGGACAGCCUUCUGAAAGGAAGAUUAAUACAAGAUGGCAUCAUGAGUCCGCAUGUUCACAUGAUUAAAGGUAUUCCGGUAGACGAUGGGGAUGCGUUCCAUUAGAUAGUAGGCGGGGUAACGGCCCACCUAGUCUUCGAUGGAUAGGGGUUCUGAGAGGAAGGUCCCCCACAUUGGAACUGAGACACGGUCCAAACUCCUACGGGAGGCAGCAGUGAGGAAUAUUGGUCAAUGGGCGAGAGCCUGAACCAGCCAAGUAGCGUGAAGGAUGACUGCCCUAUGGGUUGUAAACUUCUUUUAUAAAGGAAUAAAGUCGGGUAUGGAUACCCGUUUGCAUGUACUUUAUGAAUAAGGAUCGGCUAACUCCGUGCCAGCAGCCGCGGUAAUACGGAGGAUCCGAGCGUUAUCCGGAUUUAUUGGGUUUAAAGGGAGCGUAGAUGGAUGUUUAAGUCAGUUGUGAAAGUUUGCGGCUCAACCGUAAAAUUGCAGUUGAUACUGGAUAUCUUGAGUGCAGUUGAGGCAGGCGGAAUUCGUGGUGUAGCGGUGAAAUGCUUAGAUAUCACGAAGAACUCCGAUUGCGAAGGCAGCCUGCUAAGCUGCAACUGACAUUGAGGCUCGAAAGUGUGGGUAUCAAACAGGAUUAGAUACCCUGGUAGUCCACACGGUAAACGAUGAAUACUCGCUGUUUGCGAUAUACUGCAAGCGGCCAAGCGAAAGCGUUAAGUAUUCCACCUGGGGAGUACGCCGGCAACGGUGAAACUCAAAGGAAUUGACGGGGGCCCGCACAAGCGGAGGAACAUGUGGUUUAAUUCGAUGAUACGCGAGGAACCUUACCCGGGCUUAAAUUGCAGAUGAAUUACGGUGAAAGCCGUAAGCCGCAAGGCAUCUGUGAAGGUGCUGCAUGGUUGUCGUCAGCUCGUGCCGUGAGGUGUCGGCUUAAGUGCCAUAACGAGCGCAACCCUUGUUGUCAGUUACUAACAGGUUCCGCUGAGGACUCUGACAAGACUGCCAUCGUAAGAUGUGAGGAAGGUGGGGAUGACGUCAAAUCAGCACGGCCCUUACGUCCGGGGCUACACACGUGUUACAAUGGGGGGUACAGAGGGCCGCUACCACGCGAGUGGAUGCCAAUCCCCAAAACCUCUCUCAGUUCGGACUGGAGUCCGCAACCCGACUCCACGAAGCUGGAUUCGCUAGUAAUCGCGCAUCAGCCACGGCGCGGUGAAUACGUUCCCGGGCCUUGUACACACCGCCCGUCAAGCCAUGGGAGCCGGGGGUACCUGAAGUGCGUAACCGCGAGGAGCGCCCUAGGGUAAAACUGGUGACUGGGGCUAAGUCGUA
rnacentral:rRNA from 1 species